rnacentral:rRNA from 1 species
ACAUCCAGCGAACUUGGCAGAGAUGCCUUGGUGCCUUCGGGAACGCUGAGACAGGUGCUGCAUGGCUGUCGUCAGCUCGUGUUGUGAAAUGUUGGGUUAAGUCCCGCAACGAGCGCAACCCUUAUCCUUUGUUGCCAGCGAUUCGGUCGGGAACUCAAAGGAGACUGCCGGUGAUAAACCGGAGGAAGGUGGGGAUGACGUCAAGUCAUCAUGGCCCUUACGAGUAGGGCUACACACGUGCUACAAUGGCGCAUACAAAGAGAAGCGACCUCGCGAGAGCAGGCGGACCUCAUAAAGUGCGUCGUAGUCCGGAUCGGAGUCUGCAACUCGACUCCGUGAAGUCGGAAUCGCUAGUAAUCGUGGAUCAGAAUGCCACGGUGAAUACGUUCCCGGGCCUUGUACACACCGCCCGUCACACCAUGGGAGUGGGUUGCAAAAGAAGUAGGUAGCUUAACCUUCGGGAGGGCGCUUACCACUUUGUGAUUCAUGACUGGGGUGAAGUCGUAACAAGGUAGGCGUAGCGAG